GGGGUUAUAAUUAGUAGUGUUAAUUUCAUACAGAUCGAUCCCUAUAAAUAUAGUAAAUUACAAAUAUAAUUUUAUAAAGUUUUAAUUUUUAUAUGUUGUUCCUAUAAAAGUUCUGAUGUUUUAAAAUAUUUUCUUGUCGUUAGGAUUCGUUGAAAAAAGUUAGUUGAUCAUAUGUAAAAUUCUUAAUCUUAGUUAGUUAAUUAAUAAGGUGAAUUAAUCAUUUUACUCCUCUUUAAUUAAUAGUUAGAGUUUUUGAAGAACAUAUUUGUAGUGACGAAAAGGUCAUUGCAGUUAUAAAAUAAAUAAUAUUUUAACGGUAACAAACUAGAGGAACAUAUUUAAAAAUAUUAGAACUUUUCUAAAAAUAAUAUAUGAAAGUUGACCUUUGUAGAUAUAUAUUUGUAAUACACUAUAUUUGCAGGAAUCUUUAUAAAAUUAACUCUUAUAAUUAAUAUGAGCUCUGUGGUGGCUUAAUUUUGUGGG
rnacentral:lncRNA from 1 species